rnacentral:rRNA from 1 species
CCUACGGGUGGCAGCAGUGAGGAAUAUUGGUCAAUGGACGAGAGUCUGAACCAGCCAAGUAGCGUGAAGGAUGACUGCCCUAUGGGUUGUAAACUUCUUUUAUAUGGGAAUAAAAUGGUCCACGUGUGGGCUUUUGUAUGUACCAUAUGAAUAAGGAUAGGCUAACUCCGUGCCAGCAGCCGCGGUACUACGGAGGAUCCGAGCGUUAUCCGGAUUUAUUGGGUUGAAAGGGAGCGUAGGUGGAUUGUUAAGUCAGUUGUGAAAGUUUGCGGCUCCAACGUAAAAUUGCAGUUGAAACUGGCAGUCUUGAGUACAGUAGAGGUGGGCGGAAUUCGUGGUGUAGCGGUGAAAUGCUUAGAUCUCACGAAGAACUCCGAUUGCGAAGGCAGCUCACUGGACUGCAACUGACACUGAGGCUCGAAAGUGUGGGUAUCAAACAGGAUUAGAUACCCCAGUAGUC